rnacentral:pre_miRNA from 1 species
AGUGGGAUAGCUGGGUCAAAUGGUGGUUCCAUUCCAUAUUUCCUAAGAAAUCUUCAUACUGCUUUCCAAAGUGGUUGCACCAAUUUGCAGUCCCACCAGCAAU